rnacentral:rRNA from 1 species
AUGAACGCUAGCGGCAGGCUUAACACAUGCAAGUCGAGGGGCAGCAUGAUUGAACUUUCGGGUUCGGUUGAUGGCGACCGGCGCAAGGGUGCGUAACGCGUGAGCAACUUGCCCGUUUCAGGGGGAUAACCGGUGGAAACGCCGACUAAUACCCCAUGGCAUCAUAUUGAGGCAUCUUUAUAUGAUUAAAGAAUUUCGGAAACGGAUAGGCUCGCGUGACAUUAGCUAGAUGGCGGGGUAACGGCCCACCAUGGCGACGAUGUCUAGGGGUUCUGAGAGGAAGGUCCCCCACACUGGAACUGAGACACGGUCCAGACUCCUACGGGAGGCAGCAGUGAGGAAUAUUGGUCAAUGGCCGGGAGGCUGAACCAGCCAUGCCGCGUGAAGGUCACGGCCCUAUGGGUCUUAAACUUCUUUUGUAAGGGAGCAAUAAGGUUCACGUGUGGACUGAUGAGAGUACCUUACGAAUAAGCAUCGGCUAACUCCGUG